rnacentral:rRNA from 1 species
UGGGAACGUACCUUUUGGUUCGGAACAACCCAGGGAAACUUGGGCUAAUACCGGAUAAGCCCUUACGGGGAAAGAUUUAUCGCCAAAAGAUCGGCCCGCGUCUGAUUAGCUAGUUGGUGGGGUAAUGCCCACAAGGCUACGAUCAGUAGCUGGUCUGAGAGGAUGAUCAGCCACAUUGGGACUGAGACACGGCCCAGACUCCUACGGGAGGCAG